CUCUUAUUCCGCCAGAAGUGGUUGGUGCGACUCAUGUCCGGGAUUCGGAUCGCCCAAGGCAGGAUGUACGAAAGAGACGCAGCACAGCCAGGCCACAACCCACACUGCCAAGAGAUGCAGAUGCUGGUGAUGCAGGUCCUUCUUCAUCAAACACGCCUCCACUAAGACGACCAUCACAGGGCUCGGAUAGUCUCCAUAAGAUGCCUACCAAGAGACGCCGGCUUGAGGCUGAAUCUCCAGCAGCAUCCUCACCACCACAACGGCGCAUCUCUACAGUGUCGUCCCUGCCACCACAAGCCAUUUUGGCCAGUCCACAAAGCGAGGAUCCACAAUCCCCUCAGCUGUCUGAACCACCCAUCAUGCCCGAGGAUGCCCAGCAGGAAAGUGACUUGCAGGAUUCGUACAC